rnacentral:tRNA from 1 species
GCUGAGGUGGCGGAACCGGCAGACGCGCCUGGCUUAAAACCAGGUACCCACUAAAGGGUUUGAGGGUUCGAGUCCCUCCCUCAGUACCA